rnacentral:rRNA from 1 species
AGCGUAGACGGCAAGGCAAGUCUGAUGUGAAAACCCAGGGCUUAACCCUGGGACUGCAUUGGAAACUGUCUGGCUCGAGUGCCGGAGAGGUAAGCGGAAUUCCUAGUGUAGCGGUGAAAUGCGUAGAUAUUAGGAAGAACACCAGUGGCGAAGGCGGCUUACUGGACGGUAACUGACGUUGAGGCUCGAAAGCGUGGGGAGCGAACA